rnacentral:rRNA from 1 species
GAUGAACGCUGGCGGCGUGCUUAACACAUGCAAGUCGAACGGGAAAUAUUUCAUUGAGACUUCGGUGGAUUUGAUCUAUUUCUAGUGGCGGACGGGUGAGUAACGCGUGGGUAACCUGCCUUAUACAGGGGGAUAACAGUCAGAAAUGGCUGCUAAUACCGCAUAAGCGCACAGAGCUGCAUGGCUCAGUGUGAAAAACUCCGGUGGUAUAAGAUGGACCCGCGUUGGAUUAGCUAGUUGGUGGGGUAACGGCCUACCAAGGCGACGAUCCAUAGCCGGCCUGAGAGGGUGAACGGCCACAUUGGGACUGAGACACGGCCCAGACUCCUACGGGAGGCAGCAGUGGGGAAUAUUGCACAAUGGGGGAAACCCUGAUGCAGCGACGCCGCGUGAAGGAAGAAGUAUCUCGGUAUGUAAACUUCUAUCAGCAGGGAAGAUAGUGACGGUAC